AUGGACUACUCCGAAGAGUACACGUUCGUGUGGAAGCUGCGCAAGUACCUCCUCCUGCUGGCGACGCUGGUCGUCAGCGCCACAUACGUCGCCGGGCUCAACCCUCCGGGCGGACUGUUCGUCGACGACGAGGCACCCCACCGCGUGGGGGACCCGGUGCUCGCGAGCACCAAUUCCACCCGGUAUAAUGUCUUCUUCUACUGCAACGCCGCGGCCUUCCUGGCGUCGCUUGUCAUUGUAAUGGUCCUGCUGGACCAGCGCAUAAUCGGCAACCGUGUCGGGCUAACCGUGCUCCGGUCCGCCAUGGUGCUCGACCUGGUCGCGCUCAUGGGGGCCUUCGCCGCGGGGAGCUGCCGCGACGUGCGCUCGUCCGUCUACGUCCCGGCGGUAUUCGCCGUGCUGAUGGCGUACGUCGCAAUCCACCUCCUCGUGGCUGCCUCCCCGCUGAAGAGUGGCCACGCAGGACAUUCGGACGCGGAGGAGGGCCGCCUUAAAGGACGGUGGAAGCUCCCGCUGCUGCUGGCCACCUUCGUGACGCCACUGACCUACGGCGCGGGUCUGGUGCCUCCAGGCGGGUCCUGGUUCGACUCCAGCAAUUUUCGGGGGCAGGUCGCCGGCGACCCGAUGCUGCAGCGCAUCUACCCCCUCCGCUACUUCUUCUUCUUGUUAUGCAACACGACGUGCUUCGUGUCGUCCCUCGUCAUCAUCACCCUGCUCUUGAGCAGGUCGCUGAGUGGCCAUGUCGCCCGGUCGUACGCGCUGCAGGUCUGCGUCAUGGCGGAACUUCUCUGCCUUAUGGGCGCCUACGCUGCUGGGAGCCCCAGGUUUUUAGCGCAGACGGUGCACAUCAUCUUCCUCGCCGGGGUGAUGCUCGUGAUCAUUGCCCUCGUGGGAAAAUUCUCUAUGGACACAGUCAAGAAAUGGCUGGCACGCCGUGGCAACUUGGAGCAGGAAUCACCGCACGAGGUGGUACAUCCUGGAGUGCCAAACGAAGGCGACGGGGGCGAUGUACACAUCCUGGUAGAGUCACAGUCGCUUCUUCUGCUGCUGGCCACGCUCAUCGCGACGGUGACGUACCAGGAAGGGUUGAACCCGCCGGGCGGCUAUUGGCGCGAUGAGGACAUGCGGGGUUUUCGUGCGGGGCAUCCGUCACUUCUCGAUGUGUUGCCAAACAGGUACAGUGCCUUCUUCCACUGCAACACGAUGGCGUUUGUGGCAUCGCUGGUGGUGAUCGUCAUCGUUCAGAGCAAGCGACUGCUCAUGUCGGGAGCCGCCAUCAGGCUCCAGGUGCUGCAGGUGGCCAUAGUACUGAGCCUAUUUGGCCUCAUGGGCGCAUACACUGCCGGGAGCUGCCGGGACAUCGCCACCACCAUCUAUAUCUCCGCCUUGGCUGUCGCCAACGUGGUGGCGUUCAUCAUACUGGGCAGCGGUAGCAAGCGAUCGCUCUGGGUGGAGGCCACUGUCUACAAGGGUCUAAAGAAGUUGCACCUCUUAGACGAUGAUCAUGAUGACCAAGCCCAAUCCAAGAGAGAGGAGAUGCACAGCCUCAAGAAGAAGCGCAAGUCUUUGCUUCAGCUGGCGAUCCUCGUCGCCACUGCCACGUACCAAACCGGGCUCAACUCCGCGGGUGGGUUCUGGGAGGUGGGCUAUGCCUUCUACUCCAAGAAGCACCUCACUGAUACGCUCCUUCUUGGCUACGACCCGAGAAGGUACCUAGUGUUCUUCUACUGCAAUGCGGCGGAGUUCAUGGCCUCGGUCGCCGUUAUCCUCCUCCUGGUGAAUCGGCGGCUGCACAAGCAAAGCAUACGGAGUAAUGUGCUCCAGGCCUGCAUCAUGAUUGGAUUUAUGGCCCUCAGAACUGCCUACACCGUAGGGAGCACCCACAAAGUGAGCACCUCCAUCUAUGUCUAUGGGCUUGUGGCCGCCGUCGUCACCUACCUUGCCCUGCAAUUUCUACCGCUCCUGUUUGCGAGGUGCGUCGGGCGGCCGACCGCGCCACGGCUUCCGGCGUGGCUCCGAAAGCUGUUUGAGCCGCUUUCGCUGAUGCCCGACGCCCACAACACCAACCUAGUACAACAACAAUAUACAGACAAGCACAUAAAGCACAAGUACAUGAUGCUUCUCGCUAUUCUCACCGCUAGCAUGACGUACCAGGCGGGCCUUGUCCCCCCUGGCGGCACCUGGGCCGAAUCAACGGGUUUCCACAUUGCCGGUGACCCGAUCAUGUUCGACGUCCAAUACUCCCGGUACGCGGCCUUCUUCUACUGCAAUGCGACGUCGUUCGCGGCGUCCGUCACACUCAUCGUCCUGCUACUGCAGCGCACGGUGAGCCGGCGUGGCGCGCCGCUCAGGGCGAUGCAGGCUGCCAUGGUGCUGGACCUCGCCGGCCUGCUGGGCGCUUACGCGGCGGGCACCUGCUGGGUGUGGGAGCAGGUGUUCGCGUAUGUGACCACGCUCGUUGCGGCCGUGGUUGUCUAUGUCACGUUGCACGUGCUGCUGUGGCGUGGAAAACCUGCGGAUCCUGCAGCCCCGCCGACCACCCCCGAUUCUUCCCUUCACCCAGUUGGCAGCAUUGUUAAUGAGUUGUAG
rnacentral:rRNA from 1 species